rnacentral:rRNA from 1 species
AUGUACAUUCCUACAACAUAUUUUUAAUGCACCAAAUCCCAUUAGAACUCUGCAAUUAAGCAUGCUCGGGCUAGACUAGCACUGGGAUGGGUGACCACCUAGGAAGUCUUAGUGUUUUACAUU